rnacentral:rRNA from 1 species
GAAUAUUGGACAAUGGGGGGAACCCUGAUCCAGCCAUGCCGCGUGUGUGAAGAAGGCCUUUUGGUUGUAAAGCACUUUAAGCGAGGAGGAGGCUACUCGAGUUAAUACCUCGAGAUAGUGGACGUUACUCGCAGAAUAACCACCGGCUAACUCUGUCCCAGCAGCCGCGGUAAUACAGAGGGUGCAAGCGUUAACCGGAUUUACUGGGCGUAAAGCGGGCGUAGGUGGCCAAUUAAGUCAAAUGUGAAAUCCCCGAGCUUAACUUGGAAAUUGCAUUCGAUACUGGUUGGCUAGGGUAUGGGAGAGGAUGGUAGAAUUCCAGGUGUAGCGGUGAAAUGCGUAGAGAUCUGGAGGAAUACCGAUGGCGAAGGCAGCCAUCUGGCCUAAUACUGACACUGAGGUGCGAAAGCAUGGGGAGCAAAC